rnacentral:ncRNA from 1 species
ACAAAUGAAUAUUUCCGAGCUGUUAUCUCUAAGGGCUUUUGCCUAAGGGAGGCAGCCUAUGGGUAUGAAGAGAAAUUUUUAUGCCUCCCGUAACUGGAAAGGAACUGUUGACAAAAUUUA